AUUGAACGCUGGCGGCAGGCCUAACACAUGCAAGUCGAGCGGCAGCGGGAAAGUAGCUUGCUACUUUUGCCGGCGAGCGGCGGACGGGUGAGUAAUGCCUGGGAAAUUGCCCAGUCGAGGGGGAUAACAGUUGGAAACGACUGCUAAUACCGCAUACGCCCUACGGGGGAAAGCAGGGGACCUUCGGGCCUUGCGCGAUUGGAUAUGCCCAGGUGGGAUUAGCUUGUUGGUGAGGUAAUGGCUCACCAAGGCGACGACGGGUAGCCGGCCUGAGAGGGCGACCGGCCACACUGGGACUGAGACACGGCCCAGACUCCUACGGGAGGCAGCAGUGGGGAAUUUUGGACAAUGGGCGAAAGCCUGAUCCAGCCAUGCCGCGUGAGUGAAGAAGGCCUUCGGUU
rnacentral:rRNA from 1 species